AUUGAACGCUGGCGGCAUGCUUUACACAUGCAAGUCGAACGGUAACAGGCCGCAAGGUGCUGACGAGUGGCGAACGGGUGAGUAAUGCAUCGGAACGUGCCCAGUCGUGGGGGAUAACUACUCGAAAGAGUAGCUAAUACCGCAUACGAUCUAUGGAUGAACGCGGGGGACCGUAAGGCCUCGCGCGAUUGGAUCGGCCGAUGUCAGAUUAGGUAGUUGGUGGGGUAAAGGCUCACCAAGCCAACGAUCUGUAGCUGGUCUGAGAGGACGACCUGCCACACUGGGACUGAGACACGGCCCAGACUCCUACGGGAGGCAGCAGUGGGGAAUUUUGGACAAUGGGCGCAAGCCUGAUCCAGCAAUGCCGCGUGCAGGAAGAAGGCCUUCGGGUUGUAAACUGCUUUUGUACGGAACGAAACGGCUCUGGUUAAUACCCGGGGCUAAUGACGGUACCGUAAGAAUAAGCACCGGCUAACUACGUG
rnacentral:rRNA from 1 species